rnacentral:misc_RNA from 1 species
AAAUAAAUGAGUAAUAAAUCCUAAGCCCUUAGCUGGUUUGAUUUCAAAUUAAAGCAAGUGCCCUCUAUGAAUACUUUGACUAUGAAUAGGAGUGAAUUAUGUUGUACUGUAAAUUGGGUUAAUUUGAAUUAUGGUGAAUUUAUGAGUUCGUACGAAAGUAAAAGUGUUGGUAGUAUGCCAUGGGGAGGUCGGAUAGAGAAAACAAAAGAGGAAGAAAUUGCGGUGGGUUUGGACUUUGGACAACCAAGAACAUGGUCAUGCUGUGUGGAGCUCAGAAGGGUCGUGUAACUUCAAAUCAUAAAAGAAAAAAAAAAAUGCAGAUGAUUUGAGCUGGGG